GAUGAACGCUGGCGGCGUGCCUAAUACAUGCAAGUCGAGCGAACGGACGAGAAGCUUGCUUCUCUGAUGUUAGCGGCGGACGGGUGAGUAACACGUGGAUAACCUACCUAUAAGACUGGGAUAACUUCGGGAAACCGGAGCUAGUACCGGAUGAUAUUUUGAACCGCAUGGUUCAAAAGUGAAAGACGGUCUUGCUGUCACUUAUAGAUGGAUCCGCGCUGCAUUAGCUAGUUGGUAAGGUAACGGCUUACCAAGGCAACGAUGCAUAGCCGACCUGAGAGGGUGAUCGGCCACACUGGAACUGAGACACGGUCCAGACUCCUACGGGAGGCAGCAGUAGGGAAUCUUCCGCAAUGGGCGAAAGCCUGACGGAGCAACGCCGCGUGAGUGAUGAAGGUCUUCGGAUCGUAAAACUCUGUUAUUAUGGAAGAACAUAUGUGUAAGUAACUGUGCACAUCUUGACGGUACCUAAUCAGAAAGCCACGGCUAACUACGUG
rnacentral:rRNA from 1 species